rfam:Myotis brandtii contig319199, whole genome shotgun sequence.
CAUGCACCGGUGGGGUCCCUUGGCCUGGCCUGUGCUCUUUCACAAUCUGGGACCCCUGGGAGAUGUCAGAGAGCCCGUUUCAGCCCGAUCCCUGCAGGCCAGGCCGAGGGACCCCACCGGUGUACA